AGAGCGGCGAAGCGAUGAGAUGUUUUCAGAUUCAUCUAUUUAUUUAAGGAAGAAGAAAAAAAAAAAAAAAAAAAAAAAAGAACAGACAAAAACCGCUCCUGCACUGCCGGCCCAGGCCCAGCGGGCUGGGGUCUCCCUCAGGCGAUAACACAGCCGCCCUUCUCCUUGAAGGGGUUCUUCUCCUCCGGGACGCCCUUCACCAGCGGGUCUUCUCCCGAGCGCUCCUCGAUGUAGUUCUUGAUCUCCUCGGAGCACUUGGACACCGGCUGCCUCUCCAGCUUCACUUCUUUCCGGAGCUGCUCCACUUCCAUUUUCAGUUUGUCCUUCUCGCUCAGAUCCUCGAUGUUGAUCGCCGGCAUGGUGUGCGCUCAGUGCUGCGUGGUCGUGUGCGACUGGCGUGCUGAGAGAGGUGAGCUGAUCGCAGCAGGUGCUUUUCUUGGGCACAUUCCCCCGAAGUUCUGUGUUAA
rnacentral:lncRNA from 1 species